rnacentral:lncRNA from 10 species
CAUAGGUGUGGAGACAAGUAAAGAGCUUUCUGACGAGUCAGAAGCUGGUCAUGGGAAGGAAAUGAGGGCAUCUCCUAGGAUCCCUGCUAUGGCCCCAGCGUGAAGAAGCCAAGACUAGCCUGCUGGGUAAUGAGAGAUAGAUGGCCCAGUGAUUCCUGCUUCCUAGCCAAUAGCCAGCAAGCCCCAGAAGCAGAGCCACCUAGGUAAAUGGCAGAUGACUGCAGACACUUGGAGGAGCCCACCCAAGAUCAGCAAAAGAACUGCCCAGUUGAGCCUGGCCCAAAAUGCUGACCCUCAGAAUCAUCAGCUAAAUAUGCAAUUUAUAUUUUAAGCCACAGUUUCUUAUCCAUAGAGUGGAAGUAAUAAUAGUGUUUUCUUACUAGGGUUUUUAUAUAGAUUAAUUAGAGUAACUGAGACAUGUAAAGUUCUGAAAACAACACCUCGCACAAUAAAUGUUGAUUCUUCUUUUAUAAUAAUAAUCACCACCAUCUCCUCCUCCUCCUUCCACCAUAUUUCCAGAUAUAGAAAAAUCCACUUUGUAGUCUUUCUGCUACUGAAGAACAUUUAGAUUAUCUGUGUUUUUGCCAUGAACAUCCUUGUACUUGCCUCUUUGAGUGUUUCUGCAAGUUUGUCUCCAGGGUAGAUACGGAGAAGGAGAAGAACUGGAUCAUAGAGCAUAUGUGUCUUGAAUUUUAAAAGAUAUUCUCAAAUUUAUGCACCUCCCAGCAGCAAGGGGGCUCCCAUUUCCUCCACACUCACACCUGUACUUGCUGUCACCAGAAAUGCUGCCUCU